CGAUGUAUGUAUGUACAUGUAUGUAUGUAUGUAUGUAUGUAUGUAUGCAUGCAUGCAUGCAUGCAUGCAUGCAUGCAUGCAUGCAUGCAUGCAUGCAUGCAUGCAUGCAUGCAUGCAUGUAUGUAUGU